rnacentral:rRNA from 1 species
UACAGAGGUCUCAAGCGUUUGUUCGGAUUCAUUGGGCGUAAAGGGUGCGUAGGUGGCGCCGUAAGUCAGGUGUGAAAUUUCGGAGCUUAACUCCGAAACUGCAUUUGAUACUGCGGUGCUUGAGGACUGGAGAGGAGACUGGAAUUUACGGUGUAGCAGUGAAAUGCGUAGAGAUCGUAAGGAAGACCAGUGGCGAAGGCGGGUCUCUGGACAGUUC